rnacentral:rRNA from 1 species
CCUACGGGAGGCAGCAGUGGGGAAUCUUGCGCAAUGGGCGAAAGCCUGACGCAGCAACGCCGCGUGCGGGAAGAAGGCCUUAGGGUUGUAAACCGCUUUCAGUAGGAACGAAAAUGACGGUACCUGCAGAAGGAGGUGCGGCCAACUACGUGCCAGCAGCCGCGGUGACACGUAGGCACCAAGCGUUGUCCGGAUUUAUUGGGCGUAAAGAGCUCGUAGGCGGUUCAGUAAGUCGGGUGUGAAAACUCUGGGCUUAACCCAGAGCCGCCACUCGAUACUGCUGUGACUUGAGUUCGGUAGGGGAGCAGGGAAUUCCUAGUGUAGCGGUGAAAUGCGCAGAUAUUAGGAGGAACACCGGUGGCGAAGGCGCUGCUCUGGGCCGAUACUGACGCUGAGGAGCGAAAGCGUGGGUAGCAAACAGGAUUAGAUACCCUGGUAGUCCACGCCGUAAACGUUGGGCACUAGGUGUGGGUUCCAACCAACGGAAUCCGCGCCGUCGCUAACGCAUUAAGUGCCCCGCCUGGGGAUCGGCGGCAACGCUAAAACUCAAAGGAAUUGACGGCNGAGACGNGCGACGACGACGACGAGGAGAG